AGUGAACGCUGGCGGUAGGCCUAACACAUGCAAGUCGAACGGCAGCACAGUAAGAGCUUGCUCUUACGGGUGGCGAGUGGCGGACGGGUGAGGAAUACAUCGGAAUCUACUUUUUCGUGGGGGAUAACGUAGGGAAACUUACGCUAAUACCGCAUACGACCUACGGGUGAAAGCAGGGGAUCUUCGGACCUUUCGCGAUUGAAUGAGCCGAUGUCGGAUUAGCUAGUUGGCGGGGUAAAGGCCCACCAAGGCGACGAUCCGUAGCUGGUCUGAGAGGAUGAUCAGCCACACUGGAACUGAGACACGGUCCAGACUCCUACGGGAGGCAGCAGUGGGGAAUAUUGGACAAUGGGCGCAAGCCUGAUCCAGCCAUACCGCGUGGGUGAAGAAGGCCUUCGGGUUGUAAAGCCCUUUUGUUGGGAAAGAAAAGCAGCAGGUUAAUACCCCGCUGUUCUGACGGUACCCAAAGAAUAAGCACCGGCUAACUUCGU
rnacentral:rRNA from 1 species